rnacentral:lncRNA from 1 species
UGAGCGCUUGUUACUGCACAAAGUGGGGGUUUCUUGCCUGAUGAGCAUAAGGAGCCAAUUAUGACGGCAUCAGCCUUUGAGAAAAGAAAACAGCUUUAUUGUGAGAUCCAUCAGUAAGGAGACAGGAGGCAUUUGCUCUCAGAUCCAGGGCUUGGAUCCAGGGCUUGGGCACAAUUUAUGGGAUGACAGGCAGGGCGGUCUGAAGCAUGGAGAUGGAUGAUUGGAGACCUCUUCCAGUCAUAAGGGAGUAACAGGGGCAGACCUACCUGGAAAACUGGACAAGACAUAUGCUACAACAGUUUUUAGACAGUAGACAACAGGCAGCACACGAUCGUGAUCCUUGAGAGAAGGGAGGCAAUUGAGGGAGCCCCAGGAGCCGAAUGCACCCGCCUCUCUGCUCUCUCACCCUCAGUCUGCUCCAGGGAACAGUGAGUGGCUUACCCGCUUGUGAGUUACUUGGGAGAUUGAAGAAACAAGAAAAACAUUUAUUUUAAAGCUGAGCGUCACAGGUCGGGCUCCCUGCUUGGAAACUGAAUGAGGCCAGGUGAGGCCAGGUGUCCCUCUAUUUCUUGUUUGCUUGCAUUGAAGGAAACCGGUUGCCAUGCUAUGAGCUGCCCGAUGGAAAGGCCCACAUGGAAGGAACUGAAGUCUUCUGGCUCAAAGUCACUGAGGAACUGAGGCCCUCAGUGCAAAGGCCCUCAAGGUAUUGAGUUCUGCCAACAGUCAUACGAGUAAGACUGGAAGUGGAUCUUCCCCCAGUCAGGCCAUCAGGUGAGACCACAUUCCUGGCUGACACUCUGACUGCAGCCAUGAGACACGUGGAGCCAGAGGCACCUGGCCAAGCUGCAGCUGGAUUCCUGACCCACAGAAGACCCACACAAUAAAUGUUUCUUGUUUUAAGUA